rnacentral:rRNA from 1 species
AUUGAACGCUGGCGGCAUGCUUUACACAUGCAAGUCGAACGGCAGCGCGGGCUUCGGCCUGGCGGCGAGUGGCGAACGGGUGAGUAAUGCAUCGGAGCGUGCCCAGUAGUGGGGGAUAGCCCGGCGAAAGCCGGAUUAAUACCGCAUACGACCUGAGGGUGAAAGCGGGGGACCGAAAGGCCUCGCGCUAUUGGAGCGGCCGAUGUCGGAUUAGCUAGUUGGUGGGGUAAAGGCUUACCAAGGCGACGAUCCGUAGCUGGUCUGAGAGGACGACCAGCCACACUGGGACUGAGACACGGCCCAGACUCCUACGGGAGGCAGCAGUGGGGAAUUUUGGACAAUGGGGGCAACCCUGAUCCAGCCAUGCCGCGUGCGAGAAGAAGGCCUUCGGGUUGUAAACCGCUUUUGUUCGGGAAGAAAUCCUCUGGGCUAAUACCCCGGGGGGAUGACGGUACCGGAAGAAUAAGCACCGGCUAACUACGUG